ACAUGCAUAUUAAGAUUUUAUUGGUUGAUUCAAAAUUAUUUCUAAACACUGUAUAAAAAAGGCUUCUGCAUUAGCCUGUCCCAAAAGAAGUUAUAAUAGUUGAACUAUUUUUGCCACUAACUGUACGCAUUCAAAUUUAAAAUCACGUACUUGCAAGUUUUGCAUUUUUAGGCCCGAAGCAGCCAUGACCUUCAUUAUUCUCUUGACUAUUAAAUCACAAACCUAGACUACUAAGCUGCAAAAAAAUAAGGUCUCAAACAAAAGCUAACAUGCAAAUUUACUACAACUCAAU
rnacentral:lncRNA from 1 species